UACGUAGGGGGCAAGCGUUGUCCGGAUUUAUUGGGCGUAAAGAGCGUGUAGGCGGCCUGACAGGUCUGCUGUGAAAACUCGAGGCUCAACCUCGAGAUGUCGGCGGAAACCGUCUGGCUAGAGUCCGGAAGAGGAGAGUGGAAUUCCAGGUGUAGCGGUGAAAUGCGUAGAUAUCUGGAGGAACACCGGUGGCGAAGGCGACGUCCUGGACCGGCAUUGACGCUGAGGCGCGAAAGCCAGGGGAGCAAACGGG
rnacentral:rRNA from 1 species